UGGAAAACAUGUCCUUGUAUGAAUCCCUCU
rnacentral:piRNA from 1 species